UACGGAGGGUGCAAGCGUUAAUCGGAAUUACUGGGCGUAAAGCGCGCGUAGGCGGCUUGGUAAGUCGGAUGUGAAAGCCCUGGGCUCAACCUGGGAACUGCAUUCGAUACUGUCAAGCUAGAGUGUGGGAGAGGGUAGUGGAAUUCCCGGUGUAGCGGUGAAAUGCGUAGAUAUCUGGAGGAACACCGGUGGCGAAGGCGGCAUCCUGGACCGGUAUUGACGCUGAGGCGCGAAAGCCAGGGGAGCAAACGGG
rnacentral:rRNA from 1 species